rnacentral:rRNA from 1 species
CUACAUUAGAUACCCCCUGUAGUCCUAGCCGUAAACGAUACUCGCUAGGUGUCGGCCACGGUGCGACCGUUGUCGGUGCCGUAGGGAAGCCGUGAAGCGAGCCACCUGGGAAGUACGGCCGCAAGGCUGAAACUUAAGGAUUGCGGGGAGCACCACAACGGGUGGAGCCUGCGGUUUAAUUGGACUCAACGCCGGGAAGCUCACCGGAUAAGACAGCGGAAUGAUUGCCGGGCUGAAGACCCUGCAUGACCAGCUG